GAAGCUCGAAAGCUAAAGUCCAUGAGCGUAAUCAGUUUGGAGAAGAUGGAAGAUAAUGCCGCCGAAAUCACUCUCCAAUGCCAAUUUUUAUUUAGUUUUCCUUCAUAUAUGUGACCAGAAGUGGCGUUGUGAUGAGGUCAAUAACUAAGCUAAAAAGAGAAGAAAAAUCCGGAGAUAGAUGACCAAGUGGAGAGUUGAAUGCAGACUAUAAUUUGUAUCUUUGUAAGAGAUUUACAUGUAUGUAAUAUAGUUGAUCUACAUGUGACCUUCACAUACAAGUAGUACCGCUAUGCUCUAAAAUGAAUUCCUACUAAAUAGCUAUGUAUAAUUA